UAUUUGAUUUUGGAUUAUAUUUUAUUUUAAAAUUCAAAUUUCAAACUUAAUUUGAAACUUUGAUUUAAGUGUGUAAUAAUUUAACAGAGUUCUUAUCAAACAGUUUUCUAUAGCAGACAAUGCUUUGAUAAUAAAAAAUACUAAAUGCUCUACAGCUUUUUUUUAACAAUAAUGCACUAUUUCAUAUAGUACCUUUUCAACCGUAUUACUCUAUAUAAGCAAGCCAAACAGGCCCAAUGCCGACAAAUUUUUAUUGCAACAAUAUCUAUUAACCGCAACACAUGGGGUACUUUCUAAGCUGACCAUGCACAUAAUAUUACAUUUAACUUUGUUAAAAAAAUUGUAUUAUAUUAACAUGAAUACUUGAUGGCAAAAGGAGUAAAAGAGAAAGAAGAAGAAAUGUUUGGUGAUUACAUUGAUUAAUCCUCAGUAUCAGCAUAUCUACUGUUUUUAGUNAUAUAUAGGACUAUCUGGGGUCUCACAAUCUCCCCUCCUUUAAGCCCUGACGUCCUCGUCAGGCUCAGACUCACAAGUACCAGGCAAUGUGAGACUCAUCUCGCUAGCCCGUCAUCCAGACCCUAGCUCAGCCGAGACUCAUCUCACACUUCCGGCUGGUAAUUGGCUCUGUAUUACAACAGAAUUAGAUUAUAGGGACACAUGUUUGGAACACUUUUGAGUAAGUGUCCUAUUUAUUCUAAAACUUAAAAAAAUAUCUACUAAUGCCUAAAUAUAAAGCCCAAUCCAACCAAAAAUAAAAGAUUACUCUACUCAACUCACCACACCUAGUUCAUUUGGCCCGAUUAUAAACAGAAAAGAAAAAAAAAAAGAAAAAUCAAUUACCAUCUUUUCUUCUCUCUUCACUCAAUCUACUGAAAUUCUAGACGAAGAGCCUUUCCUGUCGUCCUUCUCCGCCACCGCAGCCAACGAGAUAGAGUUUCGGCGGUUGCUAAAUGCUUAAAUAAGUGUUGGUAAAUUAGCAGCACUCUUUUAGGUUAUAGCGACACUCUUUAAUUGUUACUAUGUACCUAGCGACCCCACAUAUAGCAACACUUUUUAAAAGUGUUGACAUGUACCUAUAUUUAAAAGUGUCGCUAUAGACCGUUUUUGUUGUAGUGCUGAUACCAUCUGUAACGCCCCGACUUCCCAGAGGGUCACCCAUCCUAGGACUACUCCUAUCCUAGCACGCUUAACUCUCUUAACCUCUUGGUCUAGCCACCACCCAAAAUGCUUAAGCCGGAUUAAGAGUUUAGCCCUAUUAUAUCUCAUAUAUAGGACUAUCUGGGGUCUCAUUGGAUUUAUAAGAGACUUAGACACUAGUAAUAAUAACUGGGCUUAAGCAUUUUGGGCUGUUGGCUGGGCCCAACGAGUUAUUGUUGCUAGUGAGCUGGGUCGUUACAGGUACUUUCUAAGCUGACCACGCACAUAAUAUUACAAUUAGCUUUGUUAAAAAAAUUAUAUUAUAUUAACAUGAAUACUUGAUGGCAAAAGGAGUAAAAGAGAAAGAAGAAGAAAUGUUUGGUGAUUACAUUGAUUAAUUCUCAGUAUCAGCAUAUCUACUGUUUUUAGUUGGAAUUUUAUUUUUUUAGGUUGCAUUGUCUACAAAUCCUUUUAGAACCAUGUUUUUUUUUUUUUUUCUAAAUUUUAGAUUUAUACCAUAUAUAAACUAUGUUUCCUUUUAAGUUUACAUCAUCUUACUGUAUUUUGAGCUAUUUUUAUUUAGUUUGAGAGCUGGUUGGUGUUUGAUACAAAACCCCUGCAUGCACUUAUACACGUCUAAUUUAUUGAGUAGCAUACAAGAACUUUAUCUUUUAUUUUAAAGAGCAUUACCUUUCCAAAGAAGAUCGUCUCUUGAAGUUUCAAUAUGAGGGAGGAAUCCAAAAAUUCUGUUGGAUACUGAAAGUGAAACAGAGGAGGAAAUAUCAACCAAAUUAAAUACUAAAAAUAUGAGUUGCAUUGCUGAGAAACCUUGGAAAGAACAUGGUCCGAAAGAAUUUAGCUUGAUUCUAAGUAAAAUCUGUGAAAAUGAGUAGGUUAUGAAGUUGGAAGCCAAGGUAAAGUAAUUUUUAAUUCUUUCUCUAAUUUUAUUAUAUUUUCGCUCCUGAGUUGCAAUUCUAAACUUUGGAGGUUAAAAUUAUUUGUAACUAUAGGUUCCCUCCUUCGCCAUCUUGCAAUAGAUAUACAAAUUUUGAUUUCUAUAUCAUUUUCGUUAAUUGUUAUACACAUUCAUUUGCUUCCACGAAAUCUUUCCGCCGCAUCGCGCGGGUAUCUUCACUAGUAUAUAAUGGAAAAGGGUGAGAGAGUCCACCGUGGACUCUCUCUCACGCAGUCCACAAAGUGAGGAUGAUCUUGUGGACCGCGUGCUCAAAAAGUUCGUGAGCUGCAAUUUCCAUUCACGGGUUUUCGUUUUCCGCAGGCAGCAUGCGAAAACGAAAAGUCGAUUUUUUCUUCAAAAUCUGUAAACUAACUUUUCUAAAAAAGAUUUUACGGACAACCAAACCUGGGAAAAACGGAGGUAUUUUACAGGGAUCCAAACCCACCCUAACUUUUUCUACUCUCAAAUCUCAAAUUUUCUUAAUUAAACCAUAAGAAUUUUUUAAAAUUGAACAAAUUCUUCUUAGAAAAUUUAUCCUUAGCCGACCAUUCCUAGAGCAAGUGGGAAAGAGCUUGGUGUAAUCCUAGUUGAUUCACAUUUUCAGCUAAGUUUAUUUCUAAAUGAAAUAAACGAAGCGGGUAGCGUGCUAUCUAUCUCUCUAAAAAAAAAAAAAAAAAAAAAAAAAAAAUCCUUAAGCUCUAAAUACAAGCUCUCAAUCUCAAGACAACAUAUAACUCUCAAUUUCUAAUUAUAUAUUUUUUAAAAAUAUUUUUAGUCAAUUAUUGUUUAGUAGUUGUUGUGUUGUUUUUUUAAAAACAACGUCGGACGAAUUUUUCAUUAGAUUUUUUAAUACUAAUUAUACUCCUAAAUAGUACAUCAGCAAUCAAUCAUCCUACUGUAGCUAGCAUUUUUAUAGAGGAUGGUGAGAGUCCACAACUUCAAGAAAAUAUUUUUGAUGCAAAUUCUAAAAGGCAUCAUAAAAGAUAACAAGUGAAUAAUAAAAGUACUUCAAAAUCAAAAAUUUGAAGGAUAUGAUCUGCACCUUUUCUUCCCUUUACUGAGGUUUCAAAAUCACAAAGUGGAUUCCAAAAACCUUUUGUUGGUUUCUUAGAACCCAAACUAUCUUUCAUCCGAAUCUUUUGCUCAGGUUUCAAAGCCUAACAUUUGGGUUCUGAAAUGUAAUGCUUUUAGGCCAAAGUUCGCUUUAACUUUUCUUUUCAUCUUCUUUUCUCUUCCUUAGAAAAUACAAUUUUUAAAAAAAAUUAUUUUAAAUAAUUAUUCAUGUAGCAAAAGUACUUGUAAAUAGUGAAUAAAUAUUUAUGUCAAAUGGUUGGUGAUUAUGCAGCUAUUUCGAGCAAUUAACGUUCAUAUUCUUCAAAGUUGUAAGGCAAUAGCAGCAGCAGUAAUAGUAAAAUUAGUAAAAAUAUGUUUUUAUCUUUGUUAGAAAGCAAAAACAAAUCGAUUUUAUAACCACAACUAACGAAUUUUAGUUUUAUUUACAAACCGCGUGAUUUUUUAAAUUUUUUCACCAAACAAGAAUGAGAUAAGUUUAACAUUUUAGUGUUGUGGAGUACAUGGAAGUACAUAUUUUGUACUUUUGCUAUAGUCCAUGAUCGACCUAUCUUGUAGGUUUCGCCAGUGGCAUCAAGUUGCAGAUGGAAGAAUACUAGAUAAUUAUAGAAUUCAGCUCAGAAAUGAUGUAUUCGAAGUGUUUGAAUACCUAAAAGAUCGGCGAGCUACCGAUUGAAGAAUACAAGAUAAAAGAGGUCUCGAGUAUACAUCAUCAGAUACAAUAGAAUCAGUUGUUUAAGAAUAUGCCAACACUCGUGGCAUAUUGAAUUAAGCCAACUUUUUUAAGUAAAUAUAAUGUAAUGGAGAGAUAAUAGAAUUAGAUUAUUAUUAUUUUUUUAAUAUAUAUUUGGUGGUUGGUUGUUUAAGU
rnacentral:lncRNA from 1 species